UGCAAGUCGAGGGGCAGCACGGGUAGCAAUAUCUGGUGGCGACCGGCGCAAGGGUGCGUAACGCGUGAGCAACAUGCCCGUAUCAGGGGAAUAAUCCAGGGAAACUUGGUCUAAUACCCCAUAGCAAUUGGAGGAGGCAUCUUUUUCAAUUUAAAGCUUUGGUGGAUACGGAUUGGCUCGCGUGACAUUAGCUAGAUGGUAAGGUAACGGCUUACCAUGGCUACGAUGUCUAGGGGUUCUGAGAGGAAGAUCCCCCACACUGGAACUGAGACACGGUCCAGACUCCUACGGGAGGCAGCAGUGAGGAAUAUUGGACAAUGGAUGGAAAUCUGAUCCAGCCAUGCCGCGUGCAGGAAGACGGCCCUAUGGGUUGUAAACUGCUUUUGUAUGGGAGCAAUAAGGUCUAUGCGUAGACUGAUGAGAGUACCAUACGAAUAAGCAUCGGCUAACUCCGUGCCAGCAGCCGCGGUAAUACGGAGGGUGCAAGCGUUAUCCGGAUUUAUUGGGUUUAAAGGGUGCGUAGGCGGUUUUAUAAGUCAGCGGUGAAAUUUUUCAGCUUAACUGGAACAAUGCCGUUGAUACUGUAAAGCUGGAAUAUGGUUGCUGUGGGUGGAAUGUGUGGUGUAGCGGUGAAAUGCUUAGAUAUCACACAGAAUAUCGAUUGC
rnacentral:rRNA from 1 species